rnacentral:tRNA from 1 species
GGAGAGAUGGCUGAGUCCGGUUGAAGGCGCUCGACUCGAAAUCGAGUGAACCAUUAAUGGUUCCGUGGGUUCGAAUCCCACUCUCUCCGCCA